rnacentral:tRNA from 1 species
AACCGGUACCGGGUGAGAGCCCGUGCCGCUCCGUCCGGGGUUGCUAUGACACGGCGGAGAGCAGCGGUUCGAUUCCGCUUCCGGGCACC